rnacentral:lncRNA from 1 species
UUCAAAUUGAGCACCGCCUCAUAUCGAGCAUCAGUUCAAGACAACAUCUAGUUACUUCGGCCCACACAUGGAUUAAAUUUCAAGUCUCCAGCCAAAAGACUCUCUUAACUGAAGACUUGGGGGACUACUGUUUAUACCAUAUUUAGGCCUCGUAUUUAGACCUCGUAUAAAUACUCGGGGGACUUAAAUGUAAUUAUGUGAUAAAGGAAGUGGCAAAUAUGUAAUAAGUGAGGAGUUCUUAUUCUAUAAAAGGACCAUUCACCCUCAUAAUUAGGGGAGGCCAAUUCCUAGGCCUGAGAUCCCC